UUCAGGUUGGGGACAACCACUGGAAACGGUGGCUAAUACCCAAUGUGCCGAGAGGUGAAAGGCUUGCUGCCUGAAGAAGAGCUUGCGUCUGAUUAGCUAGUUGGUGGGGUAAGAGCCUACCAAGGCGACGAUCAGUAGCUGGUCUGAGAGGAUGAUCAGCCACACUGGGACUGAGACACGGCCCAGACUCCUACGGGAGGCAGCAGUGGGGAAUUUUCCGCAAUGGGCGAAAGCCUGACGGAGCAAUACCGCGUGAGGGAGGAAGGCUCUUGGGUUGUAAACCUCUUUUCUCAGGGAAGAACAAAAUGACGGUACCUGAGGAAUAAGCAUCGGCUAACUCCGUGCCAGCAGCCGCGGUAAUACGGAGGAUGCAAGCGUUAUCCGGAAUGAUUGGGCGUAAAGGGUCCGCAGGUGGCAUUGUAAGUCUGCUGUUAAAGAGUUUGGCUCAACCAAAUAAAAGCAGUGGAAACUACRAAGCUAGAGUGUGGUCGGGGCAGAGGGAAUUCCUGGUGUAGCGGUGAAAUGCGUAGAUAUCAGGAAGAACACCGGUGGCGAAGGCGCUCUGCUAGGCCAAGACUGACACUGAGGGACGAAAGCUAGGGGAGCGAAU
rnacentral:rRNA from 1 species